UCAGUACCAAACAAAAUCUCA
ensembl:piRNA 21ur-1279 ncRNA